GGCUUCCGGCCGCCAGGCGAGACUCCGCGGGAAAACUCCCUGCUAGAGAGACUAGGAGAUUUGGGGCUGCGGCCGUUUCCUCCGGAGCACCCACGGGACUGUGUGCUGGGGUCCCUCCACCGGCUGUGUCCUUUAUUCUUCUUUCUCACCCAACGAUUUACCUGAACGGUUAUAAAGUGCACGUUAUUUCCCUAAGGUCCUUCUUACUGAUGUGUUGCUCUUCUUCAUGGCUCGUGAAAACUAUUAGAGUCAUCCAAGGUUUGGAGACAGAAAGGAGCACCGCCAAGUGAGGCAGAGCAGUCUCAGAAACAUAGGAAAAUGUAAGAAACUUAAGACUUGGAACAGUUUUUUGUUGUUGUUUUUUUUUUUUUUUUUUUUUUUUUUUUAAUUAGAAGAGGAACAAAGGACAUUGGGUCACAGUUUCUAAAAUAAACAUGAGCAUUAGGGCAUAUAUAAUAGCACAAUAUGAACCAAACUGAUAAAAAGCAGUGUCACAAUAUCUAUGAUAUACAUUUAUGGCUUAUAUGAAUUGAACAUUAACUUCAGUUUAAGGAUGCUUAGUCUUCAUUGUUCAUAG
rnacentral:lncRNA from 1 species